CGUCCCGUCCCCGGCGGGCGGAGCCGCUGGUCCCGAAAUUCCCGAAGAAACUCCCGAAAUUCCCGGGGCCAGGGACGCGGGGGUGGCGCAGGUGACAGCUGGGCGGGGGGAGGGCGCUGCCAGGAGCGGGGGAGGCGGCGCCCAGCGGAAUUUUUUUCCAGGGAAAUGCCAAAAAAAAUGGAAAAAAAGAGAAAAAAAAUCCCAAAUGGAAUCUCAGAACAUCCCCCGGGAUCGGGCCCCGGCCCGGGGGGAAUCGCCAACCCCAAAAUUUUGGGGGUUUGUCCCUGCCUGGAGCUGGAGCUGUACAGGAAUCCUGCCCCAAAAAACCCAAUUUUGAAGAAAUUCUACUCCCAAAAACCCCCCAAUUUUGCAGAAAUUCUACCCCCAGUAAACUCCAUUUUUGUGGAAAUUCUACUGCCCCAGAAGCCCCAAUUUUUCAGAAAUUCGACCCCAAAAAUCCCCAAUUUUUCAGAAAUUCUAUCCCAAAACCCCCAGUUUUGCAGAAAUUCUACCCAAAAAACCCAAAUUUUGCAGAAAUUCUACCCCUAAAACCCCAAUUUUGCAGAAAUUCUACCCAAACCCCCCCCCACUCUCGGUUUUCCGCAGGGCUCUUGCAGGAGGCGCGUUUUGAGGCAGAAAAUGAGGUUUUGGAAAUUCUGGCUGGGAAUUCCACCCAGUCUCUCCUGGAGCGUUGUUCUGAGCUGCUGUUCGGGCAGCCCCGGGCCCGCCGCGCCAGGUGAACGGCGUGCUGGGCGGCUCCGUGCUGCUGUCCCCGGCGCUGCUGCCCAACCAGACGGUGAAGGAGAUCGAGUGGAGCUUCUCGGCGGGCACCGGUGCCACCAUCCAGGUGGCCGAGGUGGGCCCGGGCGGGCUGGGAGCGGCCGGACCCGCGGGACCGCUUCGGCCGCCGCCUGGAGCUCGUCAACCGCACGGCGCUGCGGCUCCUGGCGCUGCAGCGCGGCGACAGCGGCGUCUUCGCGGCCCGCAUCAAACUGCAGCCCGCCCUGGUGGAGGACCAGGCCUUCAACCUGUCCGUCUACGGUGAGCGGGAAUGGCUAAUUAAUUAGUUAGUUAGUUAAUUAGGUCAUUAGUCGCUGGGUUAA
rnacentral:lncRNA from 1 species